CAUGAGUCAAAGUUGUUUAAUGGUGCAUUCCCCAUGCAACCCCCAAUCAUCAGAAUUAUUCCCUGAAAUUACCUUUCACCGUAACAUUGGUCCAUGGCUCACAUUUUGUGAAGCACUACUAAGCCAAAGUCUGAUAACAUGGAAAAAUAAGAAGAAAAAGUAUAGAUUGGAUGGUUUCCUGUUGAUGGCAGAAUGAAGCGGUGACUCAUUCACCUUCCUGCCAAAGCCCUGUAUGGUCUGACCCGCAUGGCAUUUAUGCCUUUCUCCCAGCGCCCAUGCACCCUAGCCAUUAUCUCAAACUCUGUGCUCAUCCCUGUAUCUGGAAUUUCCUCCCCCCAGCUCUGCCUACCAAGUCUUAUUCAGGAUCACCCAGCAAAGGCAUCAUUUCUUCAAGUCAGCCCAACCAGCCAUGUGAGCCUACCCGGCUAUCGGCUAUCACAGACGGGGAAGCAUUCCUCCUCAGCUUUCCUGUGAGGGGAGUGUGCGUGGUGGAAGAAUCACAGGUUCAAAAGUCAGAGAGACCUGGGUUUGUGGUUAUGACUCAGUGUCUGCCAGGAGGGAGCCCUCACUGGGGCUCCGUCUUCUCCUCUGUGAGCCAGGUUCUCAUGGCUACUCCGAAAGGCCAAUCACCAGGGCAUGGAAUAGAC